GAAUACUAUUCUUUCCAGUCAAAGAAAUAAUGAAAUCUUUGAUGUACACAUCUGCUUCACCAUUAAUAUUUGUUUGAAUAUUACCUAAAUCACCAACAUGUCUUAUUAAGCUAUUUGGUCCACCAUGGGUAACCUAAAAUGAUUAAAAUGUGAGCCAGUAGAUGUGCAACCAUUUUGUAAAUUUCCUUUUUCAUGUAUAUGAAAACCAUGUAACCCAUUCAUUGAAAGUCCACAUAUUUUUCCAGUAAUAACAACAGAAUUAUCAUCAUUUUGAACAAUAGUUAGUUUACCCGUUACGUUUCUGUUUUGAGCAUUAUGAGGUAUCAAGUCGACGUUUGCAAAUAAUUUUUUCUGUUUUUCGUGAUAAUAAAUAUUUAUGUUAUUACGGUUUGCAAAUAAGUUUAUAUACUAUUAUAUAAAAAUUAAAUAAAAAAUUAUAUAAAAA